rnacentral:rRNA from 1 species
AGAGUUUGAUUCUGGCUCAGGAUGAACGCUAGCGGCAGGCUUAAUACAUGCAAGUCGUGGGGCAGCAUGAAGUAGCAAUACUUUGAUGGCGACCGGCAAACGGGUGCGGAACACGUACACAACCUUCCUUUUAGUGGGGAAUAGCCCAGAGAAAUUUGGAUUAAUACCCCGUAACAUAGCGAUGUGGCAUCACAUUGCUAUUAUAGCUUCGGCGCUAGAUGAUGGGUGUGCGUAUGAUUAGAUAGUUGGCGAGGUAACGGCUCACCAAGUCUACGAUCAUUAGCUGAUGUGAGAGCAUGAUCAGCCACACGGGCACUGAGACACGGGCCCGACUCCUACGGGAGGCAGCAGUAAGGAAUAUUGGUCAAUGGACGAAAGUCUGAACCAGCCAUGCCGCGUGAAGGAUUAAGGUCCUCUGGAUUGUAAACUUCUUUUAUAUGGGACGAAAAAAGGUCUUUCUAGAUCACUUGACGGUACCAUAUGAAUAAGCACCGGCUAACUCCGUGCCAGCAGCCGCGGUAAUACGGAGGGUGCAAGCGUUAUCCGGAUUCACUGGCCGUCAAUUCCUUUGAGUUUCUGAGCCAUGAUCAAAC